CUUAGAUACCUCUUGGAAUUCAUGAGAAAGCUUGGCUCUGUGAGCUCUUGUCUUCUGCAGCUGUGUGACACCACUCAGUCCUCACCAGGGACUCCUGGUGACAGAAAACCUUGCUCCUGAGAUAGAAAUACAGAAAGCAGGACAGUGUGAUGCACUGUUAUAUAGAGUAACUUCCAGGACCAUCCUGAUGCCAAACUUGCUUCAACCUGGCACUCUGGUGUUACCAUGUCAUCAGCACUGGCAUUUAUUGAAGAAGCACAUGGCAGUCAAAAGUUACAUUCCUCUGUCUGUGUGGGCUUGCAUAAAGUAAAAAAGGCAUUGCCAAUAUUCAUUUAAUUUUCAUAUCUUUCUCAGCAAUCAUGAGUUGAUUUGAACACAUAGAAAUGACAGAUUGAAACACUUGCUAAAAAGUUUUGUUGUUUCAUAUUGUUGCAUAUAUUUGAUAUAAGCAUAAUUUCCAUAUGCCUAUUACAUAGGAAAAAAAAAAAAAAGCAGAAUGAACUUGACAAGAAUUGUAGGAAUUUACCUGAUUUAGAAAAAACCAACAACAUAUCACUAGAUUAUAAAUCCAUCUAAUUUGAUAACUCACUGUGGGGUUAAGUAUGGAAAUGCCUCCCAACUAUCAUUAAUAUCCUUUUAAGAGUAUGCUGUUUCCAUUGUCAUUUUUCCACAAAACUUUCCAUUCUACAUCACCUGAAUUUGCAAAUAACGAACCAAAUCAUCUUACACUGUAAAUGAGAGUGGCUCCACUGAAAUAGAAACAUAAUUUAUAAUCUUUAAUAAGCAUUUAAAGAGAGUUUAUGGACUUACAAGGCUGAAGUGUAGUCUUGGAGCUGACAAGGUGACUUUAAAAAUCUGCUAGUUUUCUGUUUCAAGAUGGUGCAAUGCAUGAUUUUGAUGUCAUUAAAUGAUGGUGAAAGGGGAUAUUAUGUAUGGACAGUGGACACAUCCAGCCAUUGAUGGGUACUAGGACAUGACUCAGAACUAAACAUUACAAAUUGUUGAAUAUUUAUUACCAAAUGGUCCUUUGGAAAUCCUCAUGGGGCUGUCUCACAGCAGUGGUCACUCUCAUCAAAAUGAAUUAUUAAUGAUUCACCUGCUAGAAAACCUGCAUGACUGAUAGCCUUUUGAAGCUUUUCUUUGGGAAGAAAAACAGGUACAAAUUACAGUCACAGGAAGAAGUACAGGAGAUCCUAAUUAAGGGGAAAAAAACCCUGUACUGAUUGAGUAUCUUGCAUAAUAGCAUACAAUAAAGUAUUGAGCUAGAUGGCUAUUUGUUACUGC
ensembl:lncRNA